CUGGAGACAAAGAUCUGAUGGAUUCUAUCAUGGUGAGUCUGGCGGGCUUUCCGGUUAUGUGGCCAAGUAAUAUGGUGGCUGAGAUCCCAGUGGAUGAUGAGUAUCUAAAACAUCUACUCAUGCAGCAGGGAUUCCUCCCCGUGGACUACACAGGCAUGUCUUUAACACCAGACCUGAGCGAAGGCCACCAGUAUCUCUGACAACAUGGUUGUUCGACGGAUGGUGGCCUUAUUUGACUACGAUCCAUGGGAAAACUCACCCAACAUGGACAGUGAAGCAGAACUCGGCUUUCAUUCAGGAGACAUCAUCUACGUUUUAGGUGACAUGGAUCAAGAUGGAUUUUAACUAUGGAGAUCCUUCACGGACGACGAGGUUUGGUUCCAUCAAACUUCCUGCAGGCCGUUACCGUGGCACUAGAAGAAAACGCAAAGCCAUUUGCUGCAAAUGCCAAGUCCCAGACGCAGUGAGAAACCAGCAGUUUUUGUGUAAAAUAUGACUAAAAGGAUAUUCUAUAUGUCAAAAACCAUAUAUAAGUUUUUUUUUAUUUUUAUAUGCUACUGUCUGCAUCUGUCUUAGACUGAAAGUAAAAGUCUAAAGAACCCAGCAUUACUGUCAAUAAGGAUGCUCCAAAUUGAAAAGAUCUCAAGCAUUUGUUAAAAAUGUUCCUUUAUUGAAAAAAAAAAAAUCAAUGAUAAUUACAAACACUUUCA